rnacentral:lncRNA from 1 species
ACCCUACCUCCUACCUAUAAAGACACACCUAAAAAAGAGGAUCAGAUCCUUCACCUAGAAAACAAAACGACGCAUUAAAAAACAUUAAUUCUCCUUCAGCUUCGAUAAAAUUAAAAACUAGAUCCAUCACUCUCUGCUUAUUCAUUUUCCUCAAAACAACAGAGAAGAGACCCCUCCCCUUCGAUCAAACAUAGUAGCGACGACUCCUAUUUCUCUUGUCCGUCAUUUUCUCGUUGGUAUCAGUCAACAACCAAACAAACGACCUUCUAUUUUUGUCCGGAAACAGAGCAAACCUACCUGAAAUAGUUAAGAAAAUUUUAGAAAAACGACAAAAGUGGAUGUAAAAAGGAUAAUAACAUGGUUACCUUUCUGGGUUUGAAGAUCUGUUCUUUGUUGUCCGAUUCUGCUGAUUUUGCUGCUUUAUUAUCGAUUUGUGGAGCUUCAUUUUUGGGUAUGCUUACUCAUCUUUGUGCUACUGUUUCAAAUCGAUUCGAAAUGGUCAAAAAUGUUAAUUAUUGAAUUUGUGAAACAAUUGAACUUUGCUAUUCAUAAAAAUAUGACUCAAAUUCGAUGUCAAUCCUAUUUGGUAUUUUCUGUUCUCGCUAUCAAUGUUGUUUUAUUAUUCUUUUUUGUUGUUUAGGGAUACUUUGGUAUUUUUUGUUUGUAAUUAGUCAUUGAUAGAAUCUCAUUUGGAAAGGCACAAAUUUGCCGUUUGAGUUGCUUGAGGAAUUGAAUGUAUUCAUGAGCUCCGAAAGUAAAAUAUGUGUUUCAGCUAUAUUGAACUGUGUGUUCUACAUUUAUUAUAUCUCUUCUUAUAAAAUGGAUAUGUCAGUUCCUUUGAGUAAUUUUUAAAUAUGGAUGUUAGUUUUCAAUUUGAUUUAAAUUUUAG